rnacentral:rRNA from 1 species
UUAUCUCUGUAGAGUCUGCAUAUCAAUAAGCGGAGGAAAAGAAACUAACAAGGAUUCCCCUAGUAACGGCGAGUGAAGCGGGAAGAGCUCAAAUUUGAAAUCUUCAAGGUUUGACCUUGACGAAUUGUAGUUUAAAGAAGUGUUUUCGGUUAGAGGAGUAGUAAAAGUUCUUUGGAAUAGGACAUCAUAGAGGGUGAGAAUCCCGUAUUUGACUAUUCUUUCUAGCUUUGUGAUACACUUUCAAAGAGCCGGAUUGUUUGGGAAUGCAGUCCAAAAUGGGUGGUAAAUUUCAUCUAAAGCUAAAUAUUGGCGAGAGACCGAUAGCGAACAAGUACCGUGAGGGAAAGAUGAAAAGAACUUUGAAAAGAGAGUUAAACAGUACGUGAAAUUGUCAAAAGGGAAGCGUUUGACACCAGUGUUGUUUUCUCGAAAAUCAAUUAAAAAUUGAUUCAUGCCAGGUUGUAUUGACCUUAUCAGCUUGCAAUUUGGUUUUGGGUCUCUUUUUGAUGCACUUUUCGGUUAACAAGUCAACAUCAAUUUCCUUUGCUGUAAAAAGGUAAGAGGAAGGUGGCUUCAAUUUCGGUUGAAGCGUUUAUAGCUUUUUAUCUCUGCAGUCGGGGAGAUUGAGGUCUGCAGCGUAGAUCCUUCGGGGCUAGAUACAUUUAUGCUAAGUUAUAGCUUUUCAUAGACAACUUGUUGACUAUGUUUAGUCAUGUAGCUUACUCGUAAGUGCUAUUUUACCUACGCUUAGGAUGUUGAAGACUCUACAGAGAUA